rnacentral:rRNA from 1 species
UACAGAGGGUGCGAGCGUUAAUCGGAAUUACUGGGCGUAAAGCGUGCGCAGAUGGUCAUGUAAGUCGGGUGUGAAAGCCCCGGGCUCAACCUGGGAAUUGCAUUCGAGACUGCAUGGCUAGGGUGCGGAAGAGGGAAGCGGAAUUUCCGGUGUAGCGGUGAAAUGCGUAGAUAUCGGAAGGAACGCCGGUGGCGAAAGCGCACAACUGGACCCCUUCUGAACGGCUGAGGCGCGAAAGCCAGGGGACGCAAACGGG